rnacentral:rRNA from 1 species
AGGGUUGAUCAUGGGCUCAGGACGAACGCUGGCGGCGUGCUUAACACAUGCAAGUCGAACGGUGAUCUCCGCUUGCGGGGUGAUCAGUGGCGAACGGGUGAGUAACACGUGGGCAACCUGCCCCCGGCUCUGGGAUAACUCCAAGAAAUUGGGGCUAAUACCGGAUAUCCUCUGCUGGCCGCAUGGUCUGGUGGUGGAAAGGGUUUCCGGCUGGGGAUGGGCCCGCGGCCUAUCAGCUUGUUGGUGGGGUAGUGGCCUACCAAGGCGACGACGGGUAGCCGGCCUGAGAGGGUGACCGGCCACACUGGGACUGAGACACGGCCCAGACUCCUACGGGAGGCAGCAGUGGGGAAUAUUGCGCAAUGGGCGGAAGCCUGACGCAGCGACGCCGCGUGGGGGAUGACGGCCUUCGGGUUGUAAACCUCUUUCAGCAGGGACGAAGCGCAAGUGACGGUACCUGCAGAAGAAGCACCGGCCAACUACGUGCCAGCAGCCGCGGUAAUACGUAGGGUGCAAGCGUUGUCCGGAAUUAUUGGGCGUAAAGAGCUCGUAGGCGGUUGGUCGCGUCGGCUGUGAAAACCCGGAGCUCAACUCCGGGCCUGCAGUCGAUACGGGCCGACUUGAGUGUUGCAGGGGAGACUGGAAUUCCUGGUGUAGCGGUGAAAUGCGCAGAUAUCAGGAGGAACACCGGCGGCGAAGCGGGUCUCUGGGCAACAACUGACGCUGAGAGCGAAGCGUGGGGAGCGAACAGG